rnacentral:rRNA from 1 species
AUCAUUAGUUGCUACGCAAGGGCACUCUAAUGAGACUGCCGGUGACAAACCGGAGGAAGGUGGGGAUGACGUCAAGUCCUCAUGGCCCUUAUGCGUAGGGCUUCACACGUCAUACAAUGGUCGGUACAGAGGGUUGCCAACCCGCGAGGGGGAGCCAAUCCCAUAAAGCCGAUCGUAGUCCGGAUUGCAGUCUGCAACUCGACUGCAUGAAGUCGGAAUCGCUAGUAAUCGCGGAUCAGCAUGUCGCGGUGAAUACCGGUUCCCGGGUCUU